AAACACACUCCGACCACACCACUCCACAAUUCAGGUACACACUCUGCACACUUUACUUUACACAUACAUAUAUUUUGGAUUAUGCAGAAUACUGUUUCCGACAUGAUAAAAUAAAAAGAUUAAAAUAUUUCUAAUCAUGACUAAUCUCACUCUGUGAUAUUUCCUAAAACCUUGCAAUUAUUAUAAAAUCAUUUUAAAACCCUGUGUUACUUAAGUCAAUAUGGAAUGUGAGAUGGUAGAGUAUGAGUUUCUUAUUCUUGAUAUCAUUGUUACUUGGAGAAUUUAUUUCAAAAUCUUCAAAAUUUUAGCUACCAUCCUCAGUGUUUUAUAUGCCUGAUAAAACUGAAAAUAUUAAUUAUAAUUAUAAAAGCUAUCUACUCUGUAUUGAGUUUGUUCAAAAUGAGUUAGACCCUUGUUGAGAGGUUUAUCACACUCCUAAGAUCAAGACAUUUAUUCAGAAAGAUUUACUCUUCCGAAGUAUUAUUGCAUUAGAGGCAUGGGCUAUGCAAAAAUAGAGAUAUUUCGAGGAAAUAAAAAGGAGCAAGUGCUCGACAACCUCGCAGAAAAAAUGGACAAGUGUCCAGCAGUAGAAUUAGGGAUACCUCGGUAUCCACUCAAAAAAAAGUGAAAAAAGAUAAAAUGAUAGCCCAUGGUCCCUCUAAUAAGCAAUAUGCCAGCAAGAGUUGACAAAGAUUUUUAAUUUCCAAGGUCUUUGAUCUAAGAGUAUGGCAUUCCCCUCCUCGGAUCCCGUUUUGAUCAGGCAAUAAAUGCAAAGUAAGUAUGCUUGAGAAUUUUUGCAAAUUAAAACAGCCUCAGUGAGAUAUAUAAAAGAUAAUGAGUGAUCUGAGAGAACCUAUGAGGAUAAAAAGGUAUGCUAACUUUCUUUCAAAAAUAUACAAAAGCUCCC
rnacentral:lncRNA from 1 species